rnacentral:misc_RNA from 1 species
AAGGAUCAUUACUGAAGACAAUAGGGUUUUGAGACUGCGUUUACGCGUGCUCGACUCUUACUCUUUAUCCACACACACCUUUGUGCACCAUGGGGGACGAAAGUGCCCUCCUUUCACAUAAACACCAAGUAUAUGCAUGUCUUAUCAUACUCUACGGAGUAAAUGUACAACUUUCAACAACGGAUCUCUUGGCUUUC